rnacentral:rRNA from 1 species
AGUGAACGCUGGCGGUAGGCCUAACACAUGCAAGUCGAACGGCAGCACAGUAAGAGCUUGCUCUUACGGGUGGCGAGUGGCGGACGGGUGAGGAAUACAUCGGAAUCUACUUUUUCGUGGGGGAUAACGUAGGGAAACUUACGCUAAUACCGCGUACGACCUACGGGUGAAAGCAGGGGAUCUUCGGACCUUGCGCGAUUGAAUGAGCCGAUGUCGGAUUAGCUAGUUGGCGGGGUAAAGGCCCACCAAGGCGACGAUCCGUAGCUGGUCUGAGAGGAUGAUCAGCCACACUGGAACUGGGACACGGUCCAGACUCCUACGGGAGGCAGCAGUGGGGAAUAUUGGACAAUGGGCGCAAGCCUGAUCCAGCCAUACCGCGUGGGUGAAGAAGGCCUUCGGGUUGUAAAGCCCUUUUGUUGGGAAAGAAAAGCAGCAGGUUAAUACCCCGCUGUUCUGACGGUACCCAAAGAAUAAGCACCGGCUAACUUCGUG